rnacentral:lncRNA from 1 species
UUCAUAGAUAGGGGUUAGGUUAUCUCAUAACUAUGUGGGCGGAAGCGAGAGGGAGGGGAAUGCCUACGUCACUCGUACGACAAAGUCAAGUUUGACAGUUGUUUGUGGUUAUAUUUCCGUAUAUUUUUGUGGAAUUUUCUUAUAAUAUCGUUUAUUUGUUUAAUAUUUGUUGAGUUUUUAAGCAUAUAAGGACAAUAUUACUAUAAUUACUUAUUUGGGUCCUAUACAAAUGCAGUAAUGACUUGUGAAGUGUGUUUUCGUAACCGUGUAAAAUAAGUGGUGGUAACAUUUGUAGCAUAGCUAUAUGUAAAAGCAACUCCAAAAUUCCUGAACCAGAUGGAAA